rnacentral:rRNA from 1 species
CCUACGGGGGGCAGCAGUGGGGAAUAUUGGACAAUGGGGGGAACCCUGAUCCAGCCAUGUCGCGUGUGUGAAGAAGGCCCUCGGGUUGUAAAGCACUUUCAGUGAGGAAGAACGCCUGGUGGUUAAUACCCAUCAGGAAAGACAUCACUCACAGAAGAAGCACCGGCUAACUCCGUGCCAGCAGCCGCGGUAAUACGGAGGGUGCGAGCGUUAAUCGGAAUUACUGGGCGUAAAGCGCGCGUAGGUGGCUUGAUAAGCCGGUUGUGAAAGCCCCGGGCUCAACCUGGGAACGGCAUCCGGAACUGUCAAGCUAGAGUGCAGGAGAGGAAGGUAGAAUUCCCGGUGUAGCGGUGAAAUGCGUAGAGAUCGGGAGGAAUACCAGUGGCGAAGGCGGCCUUCUGGACUGACACUGACACUGAGGUGCGAAAGCGUGGGUAGCAAACAGGAUUAGAUACCCCUGUAGUC